rnacentral:rRNA from 1 species
UACGGGGGGAGCAAGCGUUGUUCGGAUUUACUGGGCGUAAAGGGCGCGUAGGCGGUCAGUGCAAGUCAGUUGUGAAAUCUCCGGGCUUAACUCGGAAAGGUCAACUGAUACUGCUCGACUAGAGUGCGGAAGGGGCAACUGGAAUUCUUGGUGUAGCGGUGAAAUGCGUAGAUAUCGGGAGGAACACCAGAGGCGAAGGCGGCGAACUGGACAGUAACUGACACUCAACUGCGAAAGCGUGGGGAGCAAACAGG